UACGUAGGGUGCAAGCGUUGUCCGGAAUUAUUGGGCGUAAAGAGCUCGUAGGCGGUUUGUCACGUCGGAUGUGAAAACCCGAGGCUUAACCUCGGGCCUGCAUUCGAUACGGGCAGGCUAGAGUUCGGUAGGGGAGACUGGAAUUCCUGGUGUAGCGGUGAAAUGCGCAGAUAUCAGGAGGAACACCGGUGGCGAAGGCGGGUCUCUGGGCCGAUACUGACGCUGAGGAGCGAAAGCGUGGGGAGCGAACAGG
rnacentral:rRNA from 1 species